rnacentral:SRP_RNA from 1 species
GGGUCAGUCGUGCACGAUCAGCUCCCAUUUAAUCCCCCAGGUCUGGAAGGAAGCAAGGGUCGAUGGUUGUAGCGGUGCGAUGCAUUAAGCUGGCCCGUU